UGGGGUGUGGCUCAGCAGUAGAGCGAUCGCUAACACAUGCGAGGCCCUGGGUUCGAUCCUCAGCACCACAU
rnacentral:tRNA from 1 species